UACACACUACUGAAACACUCUCAUAAACACUAAUGAAUUAGUUUUCUCUCUCUCACACACACACCUGGAAUUAUUUGUCACUAGUACGUGUAGAAGGGUUUCACUUGUGUGUGUAAGAGCUUUUCACUCGUGCGUUUGCGAGAAAACAAUUUCAGUUGUAUGUGUGAAAGGAUUUCACUUGUAUGUUUGAGAGCUCUUCACCAGUGUGUGUGAGAGGAUUUGCCUUCCGGUUCUGGUCACCAAUAAUGCCCGCCCCUUUUAAGCCUUUUUUUUUUUCUUUACCGAAGUUGUUCGCGUACAAAAUGUCUGCCUAACUGCCGACAAGUGGCCUAAUCGAGGCAGCAGUUCUACUACAUAAUUUCAUAAUUACAGCGGAGAACAUAACUCUUUCAAUGCAACAACAGUCGGACUGCAGCCGUCAGUUGCACCUGCAGGCCGCGACACCUGAGCAGUCACACAGCGUUGCCUUUCUCGUCCCGGCAGCCAAGCAUUAUGGUGCCGCCAUUUACACUCGUUCUGGAGCGUUAUCAAGCGCAACGUUUCAGCUCAUGGACAUCAGGCAAGAGGAGGAAAAGGUAAAUAGAAAUGUUUUAUUUCAAAAUUAUUGUUUAAUCCCAGGAAAUGUAACGCAACAUGUCAUUGUAGUGAGCUAAACAGUUAGCCUUGUGUGCUUCCACUAAAAACAAGUUAGCAACUAAUGAUUCCACGAGUCCUAAGAGUCUCAGAUCUAUCGGAGGGAGCCCAAAAAGUACACUGUCAAAUCAGCUAGUAAUGUUUGCAGCUUUGUUGCUAUGGUAAUGUAAUAGUGUGAUGUUGUUGCGCUAUAUUAUGAACUAGACAGGGUAUUAUAUUUAUUUUGAAGUAACGCUUUUAUUUUGAAGAACCGGAUGUCCGGUGCGGGAAGUGUCUUUGCUGUUUUUCGAUUGCUUUACUUCCUCUUCCUUCGGACUUCUGAACGAGAAGGAGCAGAUAUCACUCCGCCAGAAAGUUGAGACCUGUGUGUGUGUUUUGUGUUUCCAACACAGGAGCAGAUAUCACUCCGCCAGAAAGUUGAGACCUGUGUGUGUGUUUUGUGUUUCCAACACAGGUUUCCCAAUAAAUACUGAACCGAC